rnacentral:rRNA from 1 species
UUAAAGUUGUUGCAGUUAAAAAGCUCGUAGUUGAACCUUGGGCCUGGCUGGCCGGUCCGCCUCACCGCGUGCACUGGUCCGGCCGGGUCUUUCCUUCUGGGGAGCCGCAUGCCCUUCACUGGGUGUGUCGGGGAACCAGGACUUUUACUUUGAAAAAAUUAGAGUGUUCAAAGCAGGCCUAUGCUCGAAUACAUUAGCAUGGAAUAAUAG